rnacentral:rRNA from 1 species
GACGAACGCUGGCGGCGUGCUUAACACAUGCAAGUCGAGCGGUAAGGCCCUUUCGGGGGUACACGAGCGGCGAACGGGUGAGUAACACGUGGGUGACCUGCCCUUAGCUCUGGGAUAAGCCUGGGAAACUGGGUCUAAUACCGGAUAUGACUCCAUGACGCAUGUUGUGGGGUGGGAAGCCUUGUGCGGCUAGGGAUGGGCCCGCGGCCUAUCAGCUUGUUGGUGGGGUGAUGGCCUACCAAGGCGACGACGGGUAGCCGGCCUGAGAGGGCGACCGGCCACACUGGGACUGAGACACGGCCCAGACUCCUACGGGAGGCAGCAGUGGGAAUCUUGCGCAAUGGGCGAAAGCCUGACGCAGCGACGCCGCGUGA